GCAUUGCAUCUCCACCAUAAAAUACAAGUCAAGACAAGAUUUUAUGUCUGCUAAAUUUCUGCAUGUGCUAUCGCCUAAAACAGACAGAUAUCAAGAAUGUUAUUUUUCUUUUGGAUUUGCUUUUUAAAGGAAAGGUUCAUUGUCUCAAUUGUCUCAAUUGCAAAGAAUGUCUUAAGACACAAGUCUAAUAAUAUGCAGUUCCGCAUAUUUAAAGUGGAUGUAACAUGCUAUGUCAUGCAUUCUGACGUCUGUUGAAAGUGCUGGCUUCUCAUGCUUAACACGGUCAACUUGUUCAAAAACAAGUUGGACGUGUGACGUAGUAUUUCUGUGCUUGAUACACUCCCCCAGCACACCAACUUGUUUAGGAAAGUUUUUUGUUUUGUAUUGUAACAGGGAUCCUAUUCCUUUUAUAGGGCAAUUCUCCCAGAAAAGCACAGCAAGGCGAAAGAAAGAGCCCGCCCACGCGCCAACCGACGAACGAGACCCGAUUGCCAUCAAGAUUGUCUGCGCUGCGUUAAGAUUGUCUGCGCUGCGCUGCAGAUCGUUACUCUUGCGAGAGUGAAGUUUAGGUGUGUUUGUUUGUUCACAGCAUUUCAGUGAUGGAUGUUAUAUAAACGGUGGACGUAAAGCUGGAUUUGGAGAUCGUUUGAAACUGACAGAUGGCGUGGUCCCAGUCAUAAAAGAUGCCGGACAUGAACUGCACGCGGUAAGUCAAAAUGGUUGUUUCAAGAUCUUCCCCGAAGAUAAAUUCUAAAGGAAUGUUCCACUUCGAGUCUUUGAUCCAAGGGUCACCAAGAAGCUUCACCACAUUAGGAUGCCGAGCAUUACUGGGGUUAAACAUCCAGCGUUAUACUCUUGUCUGUUGAUGAGACCUACAUGAACUCUCUUCAAAGCAGCCCACGAGUCUCCAAACUUCUCCUUAUAUAUUUUCCCAAAGCAGCCCUUAGCCAGUGUUUGUGUACAGUACGCCAUCUAUGUUGAAAGAAAAUCCCAACCCAGAACAUAACAUACAGCCAUGUGGAUGACAAAAUGUGUUAUUAUGAUCUUUUAACUUUUUCAAAAUGACAAAGUUUGUGAGUUUUGUUGAAGUCAAACAGAUGUUCUGUUAUGAUAUGAAAGCAGCAGUAACACCUUUGGCAAAACCUUUGGUUAAGUCUCUACAUGCUGUUGGAAAAAAUGUUGUCAAACUGGAUCUGGAUUGCCAAAGAAACCACAAUUCUUUCUCACACUCAAUAAAAUCAAGUUGUCCGUAAA